GACGAACGCUGGCGGCGUGCUUAACACAUGCAAGUCGAGCGGUAAGGCCCUUUCGGGGGUACACGAGCGGCGAACGGGUGAGUAACACGUGGGUGACCUGCCCUCAGCUCUGGGAUAAGCCUGGGAAACCGGGUCUAAUACCGGAUAUGACUCCAUGACGCAUGUUGUGGGGUGGAAAGCCUUGUGCGGCUGAGGAUGGGCCCGCGGCCUAUCAGCUUGUUGGUGGGGGUG
rnacentral:rRNA from 1 species